UUCGCAGAGUGUAAAGGCACAAGGGAGCUUGACUGCGAGACCUACAAGUCGAGCAGGGACGAAAGUCGGGCUUAGUGAUCCGGUGGUUCCGCAUGGAAGGGCCAUCGCUCAACGGAUAAAAGCUACCCCGGGGAUAACAGGCUUAUCUCCCCCAAGAGUCCACAUCGACGGGGAGGUUUGGCACCUCGAUGUCGGCUCAUCGCAUCCUGGGGCUGUAGUCGGUCCCAAGGG
rnacentral:rRNA from 1 species